rnacentral:rRNA from 1 species
GACGAACGCUGGCGGCGUGCUUAACACAUGCAAGUCGAACGGAAAGGCCCUGCUUUUGUGGGGUGCUCGAGUGGCGAACGGGUGAGUAACACGUGAGUAACCUGCCCUUGACUUUGGGAUAACUUCAGGAAACUGGGGCUAAUACCGGAUAGGAGCUCCUGCUGCAUGGUGGGGGUUGGAAAGUUUCGGCGGUUGGGGAUGGACUCGCGGCUUAUCAGCUUGUUGGUGGUGUAGUGGCUUACCAAGGCUUUGAUGGGUAGCCGGCCUGAGAGGGUGACCGGCCACAUUGGGACUGAGAUACGGCCCAGACUCCUACGGGAGGCAGCAGUGGGGAAUAUUGCACAAUGGGCGGAAGCCUGAUGCAGCAACGCCGCGUGCGGGAUGACGGCCUUCGGGUUGUAAACCGCUUUCGCCUGUGACGAAGCGUGAGUGACGGUAAUGGGUAAAGAAGCACCGGCUAACUACGUG